rnacentral:rRNA from 1 species
UACGAAGGGGGCUAGCGUUGCUCGGAAUCACUGGGCGUAAAGGGUGCGUAGGCGGGUCUUUAAGUCAGGGGUGAAAUCCUGGAGCUCAACUCCAGAACUGCCUUUGAUACUGAAGAUCUUGAGUUCGGGAGAGGUGAGUGGAACUGCAAGUGUAGAGGUGAAAUUCGUAGAUAUUCGCAAGAACACCAGUGGCGAAGGCGGCUCACUGGCCCGAUACUGACGCUGAGGCACGAAAGCGUGGGGAGCAAACAGG